rnacentral:rRNA from 1 species
CAAUAGCGUAUAUUAAAGUUGUUGCAGUUAAAAAGCUCGUAGUUGGAUUUGUGGCGUAUGGUGUGUUCCGGGCACUUGUUGUCUGAGUAACUUGCCAUUGCCAUCCUUGGGUGGAACCUGUGUGGCAUUAGGUUGUCGUGCAGGGGAUGCCCAUCGUUUACUGUGAAAAAAUUAGAGUGUUCAAGGCAGGCUUAUGCCGUUGAAUAUAUUAGCAUGGAAUAAUAAGAUAGGACUUUUUUGCUAUUUUGUUGGUUUGCGCGAGAAGGUAAUGAUUAAUAGGGAUAGUUGGGGGUAUUCGUAUUCCAUUGUCAGAGGUGAAAUUCUUGGAUUUUUGGAAGACGAACUACUGCGAAAGCAUUUACCAAGGAUGUUUUCAUUA